rnacentral:lncRNA from 10 species
AAACAUGUUUAUUCUCUUACAGUUCUGAGGUCCCAAAGCCUGAAACUGACGGGUCAGCAGGGUGGUUCCCUCUACUGUCUGUGAGGGAGAAUCGGCCAGGCCUCUCUCCUGGCCCCUGGUGGUUUGCUGGCAAUCUUUGGCAUUCCUUGGUUUGCAGACACUUCAUCCCCAUCUCUGCCUCCAUCUCAAUGACCUUCUUCUCUUUGUCUCUGCGUCUCUCUCUCUUUUCUCUUAUAAAGACAUCAUUGGGUUUAGGGCCCAUCCUAAAUACAGGAUGAUUUCAUCUCCAGGUGUUUUAAUUACAUUUGCAAAGACCCUUUUUCCAAAUAAGGUCGCAUUCACAGGUUCUAGAAGUUAGGACUUGGACCUAUCUUUUUGGGGGCCACCAUUCAACCCACUACCUCCAGGAAAGACCUGUAGGAGAGCAAGAGACGGGUGGAGGAUUGCCUCUCCCAUUGCUGAGCUUUCUUAACAAGAGAACGGUUUUUAUGUCAGCCUGAAGUAGUGAUCUACAUGAGCAAAGACAUGGGUCUGGAAAGAGGAAAAGAAUAUUUGAGACAAGGUGUCAUACUUUACUAGAAGUGAGGAAACCCGGAGUAAAUGGUGUGAGAUAAAUCAGCCUGCACACUUCCUAAGUGUCAGCACUGUUCUCGGAGCUGGGACAGUAGCUGUAAACCAAACAAAAACUCCUGCCCUCACGCAGCUUACAUUCUGAUCAGGAGAGACAGGAAACAAUAUUAAGAGGUAAAUGUUCAAAUAUAUUAGAGGCAGAAUCUAGGAGAAAAGUAUCCAAGGCAGAGAGAAUAACCAGGGCAAAUGCCUGAGUGGAAACUGUGCUUGCCAUGCUGGGCCAGGAGUGAGGCUACUGGGUGUGAAGUCAGAAACCAAGAAGGCGCAGAGACUGGACCCUCCUCGCAUGCUGACAAGGUGGCCUGCACAGCUCCACAUCACAUGCACAUGUGUAUAAAACACCAGACCAAGGCCGGGAGCAGUGACUCACGCCAGUAAUCCCAGCACUUCGUGAGGCAGGGGCAGGUAGAUCACGAGGUCAGGAGUUCGAGACCAGCCUUGCCAACGUGGUGAAACCCCAUCUCUACUAAAAAUACAAAUAUUAGCUGGGCAUAGUGGUACACGCGUUUAAUCCCAGCUACUUGAGAGGCUGAGGCAGAAGAAUUGCUUGAACCUGGGAGGCGGAGACAGAGGUUGUAGUGAGCCAAGAUUGCGACAUUGUACUCCAGCCUGGGCGACAGAGCAAGACUCCAUCUUUGGGGAAGAAAAAAAGGAAAAACAGACCUCUGAAUCGGAGAAAUGGACAGUUUAUUACUCACAGUGAACACAGCAGCCAGAACAGUAUCUUUAGUCACUUUCCCGAAAACAGAGAAACGGGGCAGCUCUAGAGUGGGAGUAGGGGCACAGAGAACAGG